UACGUAGGGGGCUAGCGUUGCUCGGAAUCACUGGGCGUAAAGCGCACGUAGGCGGGUUGUUAAGUCAGGGGUGAAAUCCCGGAGCUCAACUCCGGAACUGCCUUUGAUACUGAGGAUCUUGAGUACGGGAGAGGUGAGUGGAACUGCGAGUGUAGAGGUGAAAUUCGUAGAUAUUCGCAAGAACACCAGUGGCGAAGGCGGCUCACUGGCCCGUUACUGACGCUGAGGCACGAAAGCGUGGGGAGCAAACAGG
rnacentral:rRNA from 1 species